CGGCCUACUCAAAGUCUUAACUAGAAUCCAAUUAAGAAUUUGUGUCAAAACUUUAAAAAUGACGCUCUUCGUC